GAUGAACGCUGGCGGCGUGCCUAAUACAUGCAAGUCGAGCGAACAGACGAGGAGCUUGCUCCUCUGACGUUAGCGGCGGACGGGUGAGUAACACGUGGAUAACCUACCUAUAAGACUGGGAUAACUUCGGGAAACCGGAGCUAAUACCGGAUAAUAUAUUGAACCGCAUGGUUCAAUAGUGAAAGACGGUUUUGCUUUCACUUAUAGAUGGAUCCGCGCCGCAUUAGCUAGUUGGUAAGGUAACGGCUUACCAAGGCAACGAUGCGUAGCCGACCUGAGAGGGUGAUCGGCCACACGGGAACUGAGACACGGUCCAGACUCCUACGGGAGGCAGCAGUAGGGAAUCUUCCGCAAUGGGCGAAAGCUUGACGGAGCAACGCCGCGUGAGUGAUGAAGGUCUUCGGAUCGUAAAACUCUGUUAUUAGGGAAGAACAAAUGUGUAAGUAACUAUGCACGUCUUGACGGUACCUAAUCAGAAAGCCACGGCUAACUACGUG
rnacentral:rRNA from 1 species